GCUACACCUCGCAUGGCAUGUGCAUUGUGAACUCUACAUGUGCGGCAUUGACAGUGGUGUUUGAUAGCAUGUGGGCUGUUUAGAAUCUGCCCUUUAUACAGAAAUGAUAUGUCUGGCUUUGUUUCCAGGGUUACAGAAACUUCUUUGGUCUAUUUCCAUGACUGCGUUCAGUGGAGGCAAGUUCUUUCUGCUUUUUGAGCCUCUGCAAUCAACUUCCAGGAUAUUGGAGGCAUAAGACCUCCCUCCUUGCUUCGUCUGGGAGGAUUUGCACUCAGUUCCUCAUGCAAAGAGCUACUCAUGGAAUUCCUGCCUUUGCACUUGCUGGAGGAGACCAAGGUUUCCCAGAGCGUUGCUUGCAGUUCAGUCUUCAUAAUCCGUUUACAGACAUGCCUCGCAUGCUGGGAGAGAGCAUCGACUGGGCUCAUGUGACAGUGUGGCCGGAACCCCAGGUCUCCUGGGCCCUUCCCAGGGAUUGUGGACAAGUCCCAUCAUCUUACAACCACCGGGCUUCUGUAUUUCUAAAUCAAGCAUGAUGUCUUCCCGGUAGAAUUCGG
rnacentral:lncRNA from 1 species